ensembl:lncRNA
CCGAGUGCUGGGAUUAAAGGCGUGCACCACCAAUGCCCAGCUAAGUCUCAUAGUCUUUAAAAAUUCAGGCAUUAAAAGUUCUAUCUCUUUAAAACACCCAAAGUCUCUCUCAAAGUUCAAAAGCCUCUGGAUGAUGGCUCCUGUUAGGCCAAACAUAAGAUACAUGCUUUCUAAUUAUACCAAGGAAAAACCGUCACAUAGUCACAACUAAAUCAAAGUGAAACCUUUGCUUUGCUAUGACAAUUGAUGCUGUCAGGUGGGGAUGGUUAAGAAGAAGCCAGCAUCACUGAGAUGAGAUCUGGGAAUAUUUCCCCAGGGUUAGCACACAGAAGCUGUGGUCCAGAAGGGACCCAGGCUUCAUCUCAUACUGGCAGUUGAACUUGGUAAAGUUUAAGAGUAACGCAGGAGAUACUAGUUUUGCAGGCAUGAGGGGUCAUGGAGAGCAGCCCAGGCUUGGCAUUAUGUGGCAGGGCUGGAGUCCCAGCAGAGAGCCUAGGAGAGGCUGUCAGUGGAGACGAAGUCCAGUUGUAGAGGAGACUCAGGCAUACUAUGGAGAUACCAGUACUAUGGUUGGAGCAGACCUGAGCCUACAGGACAAGCCAUGUGUGCUUUGAUAUGCUUGCUGCCAAGGCUCUUUGGAACCCACAGGAUCAUAAGUAGGUCCAGACACCUAGCACUCAACUUUUUACAUCGUUGAAUUUUGGUUUGGCUGAUUUUUCAGCCCCAGCUGAACCACCGAGUCUUAAUUCCAAACAUCACUCCAAGAGCCCUUCCAGAGUCUUUCCUUUGAAACUUCACAAACUGCCCUCAGGCUCUAAGUGCUCCUUACCUUAGGUAUAUGUCCCACUGACUGUAGCUUCUAGUCAAAUGUGACCUGUCCUCAUCUUCUCUUGUUUAAUUAACAUUUUCACAGACAGGAAGCCCCGCCUCCCUCACUUCCUGUUACAUGUUUAUAACACUCCCUAACACAGAGUGGUGAGCAAGUGUUAUUUCAUCUUCACAGCAUCCUGAACCCAACCCCACUUUGAGACAGAGCUUUGCUAUAUAUCCUAGGCUUUCCAAGAAUUCUGGAUCCCCGUGCCUCAGCCCCUAAGUAGCUGGGAUUACAGGCCUGUGCCAUCCUUCACAACCAGCAUAGCUCAUCUUUAAGGAAUUCUCUUCCUUCGCUAUGACCCAAUGGAGCUGUGAAUUGUGGUGCUGCGGGAGGCUGGUUAGUGGGAAUUCUCCAUCCUCUGACUUCAGAGAGGGUUGCAGGGACAAGCACAUACUUACCCAGAACUGACUAGUUGGGGUGGAGAUUUGCUACAUUUGUGUACACAGAGAGAAGUCUUUCUUCUGAGUCUGGAAGCUAUAAGGAUGUUGUAGCCAGGGAGUUCUGUCCAUCUCUCUCUACAUGGAGGAAGGGCCGCCUAAUGGAAGGGAAUAAACCCACCCUAAACAGUUCAGGGUUAGAAAGAAUCAUAGUUGACAUAGUUGACAUAUUGGGUGCUGACUUCAGGCCAGGCCAUAUUACAAACACUUGGUGUGGAGAAUCUUGACUCCCCACAGGGCCCUCUGAGGUGAACUAAUUAUGGAUGCCACCUCACAGAAAGGGACACAGUGGGGGAGGGGGGUUGCCUAGCAUGCAGGAAACCCUGAAUUGUUGCAGGGUGAGAAUUCGAGAUUUCUCCCCACUUUACAAGGUGAGAAAUGACCCCUGGGCCCCAGGAUUGAAUCCCAAGAGAAGUGCUGGCUCCAACCAAGGGAUGAAGAAAAUCAAACAGGAGAAUCAAGAGUUAAGCAAUGGGUUUAACACCACCCACCUAUGUAGGUUGCUGGAGCCAAGAUUUGAACUCAGGCUGUGGGAUUCCAAAGCUGUCAAGCUGUGCUGCCUUAUAAGCCGAGAUGAACAUUAAGGAAGCUGAAGGGUUUAUACUCAUGAGCAAGUGUGAGAACUGACAGCAUGGUAGGAGUACCUGGCUCUGGGCAAGCCUGGAGUCAGCUGACUGUGCUUUCUAGUUAAGUAAGCCAAUGCAUUCCCCGUUUUGCUUAAAAUAGUUUAUACAGCAGUCACUUGCAACUGUCUGAAUUUGUUGUGGAACGACUAGUCUUAGAGAGAGGGAAGCUUCAAACUCCUGGCUGCAUCCUGGCUCUACCCUUCACACUGAGAGGACAAGUCACUUGACCUCUUAGAUCCCUGCAGGUAAAUGACAGGCUCUUGAGGCAGCUGUGACUGGAGAUGAAAUUACGUGUAAAUGCAUUUAACACUCUGCUAAUAUAAUUUAAGUAGUCGGUAAUUGUUGGAACUCCCCCUUCCCUCUCCCCGUUAGGAGUAGGUGCUCAAUAGCAUUUGUUGAAUUGAAUUAAGUCCUCUAGAGGCUGCAGGAUGCUGCCUGAGUUUGAAAGCUGCAAGGAGCUGCCGAAUCACCAAUCAGGAGGCUUCUCAGUCUAAGUGGCGCCUAACAGCUCUAUUUGGCUGUUUUGAAAGAAAGAAAGAAAGAAAGAAAGAAAGAAAGAAAGAAAGAAAGAAAGAAAGAAAGAAAAUCUGCCUUUCCCUUCUGUUCUCCUGGUAGCCGCCUUCUCCCUGGCGUUCAGUCUCUCCACAGAAGAGAAAAACAAAGCAAAACAGUGUUUGCAGCAGGGACCUCAAGAGGUAGCCCGGACUCUCCCAUCUCUCUGGUCUCCACCCACUCACCAAGCCCUACUGAUGCUGCUGCUUCUUCCUUUUCCCUCCUGCCCGUGCCCUUGCUUGCAUGCUUCACUUUUCUGGGUGCUUGCCUCUUCCUCACUGGCCUCCAGCCUGCCAACACCACGCCAAGAUCCAGAGACACCAUGCUCAAAAGUACCAAACCUCUGUUGGCUUAGAACUGCAUGCAGGAUGACGUCAAGCUUGGGUGGACGUACAUGGUCCUCCUCGGUAGCCGGCGCUGCCUGGGUGGCCAGGCUUGGUUCUGCCAUGCUAUUUCAAGCCUCCAUGCUCGCUCACGCCUUUCCCUCAGCUUGAACACUCAGGGCACCUACGCCCCCACCCUCUACUCUUACUCAUUCUUCAAGCGCUCUCUCUCUCUCUCUCUCUCUCUCUCUCUCUUUCUCUCUCUCUCUCUCCCUCUCUGGAAAUACUCACUCAGCGCUCAUACCUACUCUGUGGGCCAAGGAUGCUUCCUCUCUGUGCUCCCACAGCGUCCUGCAUGAUUCCGCCUUCUUAUUGUUUUGACCUGAUCACACCGCCCUUGUUAAAAGCACUUUAAGGCAUGUAGUGAUGAAUGGUGAUGAAUGGCUCUAUUAGUACCCGCGACCUUACACAGUGCCCUGCACCCAGAACCUCCCACCUGCAGACAGCUUGCAAGCUGUAACUUUGGGUUCUGUACAAUUGAGUGGAGACCUCUGACUACCUUAAAACAGCCCCCAUUUCAGUUUGAGAAAGGAUGAAGUUAUUUCCUUACAACUAAAUAUAGAGCGUGAGUCUGUGCUGAUGCAUAACUUAGGCAAAUGCAUGCAAAUCCCUCGUGGGCUGGGGGGAUCCCUGUCUUCUGAGUCAUCCAGCCAGAGUUCUCUCCUUGGGGACCUCCAGUCACAGACCUGAUACUGACCCAGCUGGAUUUCGGAGGCACCCCUGAUCUGGCUUCGAGACCCUGGCUGUAUCUGCUCUCCGUUAAACCAUCCACCAAGUCAAACCAAACAUGGCAGAAGACAUCCUGGCCUUUGGAACCACCCUUUACCCUCCAUCUCUCCCCCUUUUCCUCCUGUCUCUCUGUCUUCUCCCCCUCCUCUCUGUCUGCUCCUUCCUGAUGGAAAUUUGGCCUCUACCUGCCCUUGUGACUGGAAAAAGCAGCGUCAGUUCAUCAAAGCAGAACAAGGCUGCUACUUAGUGUCCUUGAUCUAUGGGUUACCAGGAAGGCCCAGGGUUACCCAGCCCUCUCUGGUCCCCGCCAGAAGUGGGGGUGGGGGCUCUUCAGCAGGUGUGAGGCCUGCCUGUGGCAGAGAACGUCAUCAAAUGGUCAGCUGCCUCCUGGUGGAUGCUGGCACUAAGCCUACUGUCUCCCUUGCUAUCACUUGGGGGUUCUUUGGGCAGAUGGACGGAAGAGGCAGGGACAUGUACAGCUAGGAGGAGGUCUUCUGGGGCCAGAGGCCAUUGUUCAGUAGACC